rnacentral:rRNA from 1 species
GUAGGGAAUAUUGGGCAAUGGAUGGAAGUCUGACCCAGCCAUGCCGCGUGCCGGAUGAAGGCGCUCUGCGUUGUAAACGGCUUUUAUUCGGGAAGAAGAGUAGGGAUGCGUCCUUAUGUGACGGUACUGAAUGAAUAAGCACCGGCUAACUCCGUGCCAGCAGCCGCGGUAAUACGGAGGGUGCGAGCGUUGUCCGGAUUUAUUGGGCUUAAAGGGUGCGUAGGUGGCUUAAUAAGUCAGUGGUGAAAUACGGUUGCAUAACAAUCGAGGUGACAUUGAUACUGUUAGGCUUGAAAUAAUUGGAGGCUGCCGGAAUGGAUGGUGUAGCGGUGAAAUGCAUAGAUAUCAUCCAGAACACCGAUUGCGAAGGCAGGUGGCUACGAUUUAUUUGACACUGAUGCACGAAAGCAUGGGGAGCAAACAGGAUUAGAAACCCGUGUAGUCC